rnacentral:rRNA from 1 species
CAGCCGCCACGGUAAUACGAGGGGUGCAAGCGUUAAUCGGAAUUACUGGGCGUAAAGCGUGCGUAGGCGGUUUGUUAAGUCUGUUGUGAAAUCCCCGGGCUCAACCUGGGAAUGGCAAUGGAUACUGGCAAGCUAGAGUGUGUCAGAGGAUGGUGGAAUUCCCGGUGUAGCGGUGAAAUGCGUAGAGAUCGGGAGGAACAUCAGUGGCGAAGGCGGCCAUCUGGGACAACACUGACGCUGAGGCACGAAAGCGUGGGGAGCAAACAGGAUUAGAUACCCCUGUAGUCCCUGUCUCUUAUAA